UACGAAGGGGGCUAGCGUUGUUCGGAAUUACUGGGCGUAAAGCGUGCGCAGGCGGCUUCUCAAGUCAGGGGUGAAAGCCCAGAGCUCAACUCUGGAACUGCCUUUGAGACUGAGAGGCUUGAGUACGGGAGAGGUGAGUGGAAUUCCCAGUGUAGAGGUGAAAUUCGUAGAUAUUGGGAAGAACACCGGUGGCGAAGGCGGCUCACUGGCCCGAAACUGACGCUCAUGCGCGACAGCGUGGGGAUCAAACAGG
rnacentral:rRNA from 1 species